UCCGGUUUGACACCGGCAGUCUCGCUAGAGUCCCCAGCAUUACCUGAUGGUAACUAGCGACAGGGGUUGCGCUCGUUAGAGGACUUAACCCGACGCUUCACAGCACGAGCUGACGACAGCCAUGCAGCACCUGUGCAUGUUCCACUCUUGCGAGUGUGGCUCCUGUUUCCAGGAGUUAAUCCAUGCAUGUCAAACCCAGGUAAGGUUCUGCGCGUUGCUUCGAAUUGAGCCACAUGCUCCACCGCUUGUGUGAGCCCCCGUCAAUUUCUUUGAGUUUUAGCCUUGCGACCGUACUCCCCAGGCGGUGUGCUUAACAAUUUCUCUUCGAUCCCGACGGCGUCAGAGCCGCCGUAAUCCAGCACACAUCGUUUAGGGCGUGGACUAC
rnacentral:misc_RNA from 1 species